GCACUUAUUGAAUCAAUGGGGGUUCAAUAAGGCUCAUUGUUAACGUUGGUAACUACCAUUGCAAUUUGGAGGGGUGCCCGCCUAAACCCGACCCAGAUGGUUGAACUUAUAUCAUAAUUUGUGACAGUGCGGGCCUGCAUUGGUGCGGCCCUACC